UACGGAGGGGGCUAGCGUUGUUCGGAAUUACUGGGCGUAAAGCGCACGUAGGCGGCUUUGUAAGUUAGAGGUGAAAGCCCAGGGCUUAACCCUGGAAUUGCCUUUAAGACUGCAUCGCUAGAAUCGUGGAGAGGUGAGUGGAAUUCCGAGUGUAGAGGUGAAAUUCGUAGAUAUUCGCAAGAACACCAGUGGCGAAAGCGGCUCACUGGACCAUAACUGACGCUGAUGCACGAAAGCUGGGGGAGCAAACAGG
rnacentral:rRNA from 1 species